rnacentral:rRNA from 1 species
GACGAACGGCUGGCGGCGUGCUUAACACAUGCAAGUCGAACGGACGAGUGAGAUAAGUUUACUUAACUCACAAGUUAGUGGCGGACGGGUGAGUAACACGUGGAUAAUCUACCUGCAACACCGGGAUAACGCUGUGAAAACGGUGCUAAUACCGGAUACGUUCCCUUGUGCGCAUGUAUGAGGGAAGAAAGCUCAGGCGGUUGCAGAUGAGUCCGCGGCUGAUUAGCUAGUUGGUGAGGUAAAGGCUCACCAAGGCGAUGAUCAGUAGCCGGCCUGAGAGGGUGAACGGCCACACUGGGACUGAGACACGGUCCGGACUCCUACGGGAGGCAGCAGUGGGGAAUAUUGGACAAUGGGGGAAACCCUGAUCCAGCGACGCCGCGUGUGUGAAGAAGGCCUGCGGGUUGUAAAGCACUUUUAGUGGGGACAAAAAGCCAGGGGCUAACACCAUCUGGUCUUGAUUUAACCCACAGAAAAAGCACCGGCUAACUCUGUG